rnacentral:rRNA from 1 species
GUGCGGGACGUGUCCCGUUUUGUAUGUACUUUAUGAAUAAGGAUCGGCUAACUCCGUGCCAGCAGCCGCGGUAAUACGGAGGAUCCGAGCGUUAUCCGGAUUUAUUGGGUUUAAAGGGUGCGUAGGCGGCCUUUUAAGUCAGCGGUGAAAGUCUGUGGCUCAACCAUAGAAUUGCCGUUGAAACUGGGAGGCUUGAGUAUGUUUGAGGCAGGCGGAAUGCGUGGUGUAGCGGUGAAAUGCUUAGAUAUCACGCAGAACCCCGAUUGCGAAGGCAGCCUGCCAAGCCAUGACUGACGCUGAUGCACGAAAGCGUGGGGAUCAAACAGGAUUAGAUACCCUGGUAGUCCACGCAGUAAACGAUGAUCACUAGCUGUUUGCGAUACACAGUAA